rnacentral:lncRNA from 1 species
UUAAUCUUGACAACAAGAGUUGUUCAAAUGCCACUGUAGGUUUGAAAAACUAGUGUUUUUCAUUUUUUUAAUUAAUUAAUCUUUUUAUAUAUUUUGUUAGAUAAAUGUUGUUAGUGGUUGUUGAUUUAACUAGGGAAGGUAUUAUCUAGGAAAAGUAAUUUUUAGCUUUGUCAUUUAAUAGGGAAGGUAAUUCUGCAACACAAACUUUACCCCCAAGUUUCAAAUUCCUUUGUCUAUAAAUAGCAAAGGAUUGGUGCAUCAAAAAUACAAUACUAUUUCCUUUCAUUUUUUAUCCUUUCUCUUUUCUUCAACACAAGAGAACCCAUCUUCAUUUCCUUUUUGUUAUUGACUUCUGUUUUACAUUGAAUUCUUGAGGAUUGAUUUCUUGAACCUGAAAAGAAAAAACUCAUUUGAUUAGAUCUCAUCCAUAAUCAAUAUUUAAGUGAGGCAUGAAUAUAUGAACAAAAAUUGAGGCCAUGAACUAUUUCUAUAUGCAAUUUAUUAGUUACUUUGUUUGCAACUUACAUUUUAUUAUUGAUUGGUCUUUUUUAUAGGUGACACUCACUUCUAUCAAGGAUCUUGUGUCUGUGUUUCAAAGGUAAAUAUAUGUUUUUCGAAGAUCUCAUUUCUUUCAUGAAUUGUC